GAUGAAGAACGUAGCGAAAUGCGAUAAGUAAUGUGAAUUGCAGAAUUCAGUGAAUCAUCGAAUCUUUGAACGCACAUUGCGCCCCCUGGUAUUCCGGGGGGCAUGCCUGUCCGAGCGUCAUUACAACCCUCAAGCUCAGCUUGGUAUUGGGCCCCGCCGACCCGGCGGGCCCUAAAGUCAGUGGCGGUGCCGUCCGGCUCCGAGCGUAGUAAUUCUUCUCGCUCUGGAGGUCCGGUCGUGUGCUCGCCAGCAACCCCCAAUUUUUUUCAGGUUGACCUCGGAUCAGGUAGGGAUACCCGCUGAACUUAAGCAUAUCAUAAGCGGAGGA
rnacentral:misc_RNA from 1 species